UGUGGCUGAUACUGCCAGUAUUGCUGCUCUCGCUGAUUUCAUCAAAACUCAAUUUGGAAGAUUGGAUAUCCUGGUACCACUAAACCUACUGUGGAAAUACUGAGUAGUGCUCGAAAUACGAAUUUUUAAUCCAUUUCUCUAUUGAAAUUUCUGGAGUGAACCUCGUUUUUUACAGUAAAAAUCUUCUACAGGUUUUCAAAUUUGUGUAUUUGGUUCUUAUUAUUGAGCUUUUAUAUGUUGUAAUGAUUAAAAAACUUGCACCUCUGUACAGGUUAACAAUGCUGGUAUUAAUGGAGUUACAGUUGAUGGUGAUGCUUUCAGUGCUGAGUCUGGUAAGGUAAGUUUCUAUUAAUGAACAUAUUUGACGAAGCCUUAAGAAGGAUAAUUUAAUUGAUGGUUUUUGUGGAGAUCAAUGCUAAUACCGGUCCUGACAAUUUGAUGCUUCAUGCAAUAUUUGUCUGGCUGAAUAUUUGUACAAUCUCCUGUAAAUUUAUAGUAUAGGCCAAGUUCUCCUUUUUAAUGUGAACGUAACCCCUCAUAGAUACAUAUCUGCAUCUGCAUUUUGGGCUCAUUAAGUAUUCAAGUUACUAAUUUUGCUUUUCAUAGUUUAUCAGUACAUGCAACCAUUGAAUUGUGGACAAUUUAAGUUAGCAGGUUUGUUUAGAUCAAAUUUUAUUGAUACAGAAAUUUUCUGUGAUUUGAAGUGGGGUUUGGUUUGCUAGAUGGAUAGAGCAUACCAUAAACCUGUGCUUUUGAUUGUCCAUGUAUAACUAGCAUGAUGAUUAAGUUUCUUUCAUUGAUGCAGGAAAGUGCAACUGUCAAUUGGCAAUGGCAUAAAAGAACAACUCAAACCUACGAGCU
rnacentral:misc_RNA from 1 species